UGGGGCCGUUUUCGGUUGGCGCUGCUUCUCUUUGUUCUGUUGUCCCCCAGUGCAGUGAACCCUUACAUUAUGGGUUUCUCUUGUAGUUCUAACCUCUAAUACUCAACCAUUACAUCUUAUCUCGUCUUCUAAAUUACUCUAAAAUCCAAUUAUAAAACCCUCUCUCCUUCAAGAGCACACAACUUGCCACAUUACUGAAAUGCUGGGCUGCUCUUUUGUUUUUCUAAAUUAAUAAUAACUAUACCAUUUUCCGUCUGCUCUUACCAUGGGACUCUUUUAUAUCACCACAUAAAAUGCAUAUUAUGAUUCUUUUUGCUUCUUUUCUGGGCUGCAAAAAAGCGAAGGAUGAUUUUCCAAAUAUUCAUAAAAGAUCUGUCAGUUGGUUUUUAGUGUAAAAACAUUUGAAACUACAAUCCUUAAAGAAGAAAGCAUCUUAAUAUUUAUCAGUUAAAAUUUCACUAUUGCUUUCUUUUGUAUGGGCAAAAUAGAAGUCUAUCAUUUUUAAGGUUUUAAGAGAUUUGAAUGAAUUUUAUGUGUUAGUUAAAAUUUUUAUGGAUUGAAAACGCUUAGUUUCACUAAGAUUUCAAAAGCACAAACGAUUUUUAAAAUCUAGGUCCCCUCGUGAGUUUCUUGAAUUUACAGGAGGGCAGUGACUAUUCUUAAAUAUAGAUUCAACUUCUAUAAGUUAUCAAAAUAUUUCAGGAAGAGAGAACAUGCCCAGAACAUAUAAGAAAAAGCUUUAACAGUAUCAGGAAUAUCCUCAAACACUUUUUCUGACAAAAGGGCUCUGCUGGAGUGAGGAAGCUGACUGAGGGAAGAACCAGAAGGCUGCCAAAAUACAAUUGUGUGCCUUUAAAGGAAAUAACAACAAGAAUUAGGAGCGCCCUGGAGGCAAGGUCUGCUGCUGGGGAAACCAAACCACAGUAACUUCAGAAAUAUAUACUUGGAAUAUGUCAUGUAUUAAUGGGUAAAGACACCGUGGAUAUGAAGGAAAUCACCUAUGGGAGAAUAUUAAGAAGAGAAGAAGGGGCUGCUGGCUGUAGUGAAAUGUAUAAAAAGGAGAGUGUGAUCCUAGUUUCUGUCUCUAACUAUGAGUUACUUGUGAUUAACUUCAAAUAUUCUCUCCAUAAGAAGAGGCCCAGAAGAAGAAGAUGAGCUUCAGUUAUUCUAGCACAACUGCUGUGAUAUUUGUAAAUAUUCAAAACCUAUAAUAAAAUGUAUAAAAGGAAA
rnacentral:lncRNA from 1 species